rnacentral:rRNA from 1 species
CUACGGGGUGCUGCAGUGAGGAAUAUUGGACAAUGGGGGAAACCCUGAUCCAGCAAUGCCGCGUGAAUGAAGAAGGCCUUAGGGUUGUAAAGUUCUUUCACUCGUGAAGAUGAUGACGGUAGCGAGAGAAGAAGCCCCGGCUAACUCUGUGCCAGCAGCCGCGGUAAGACAGAGGGGGCUAGCGUUGUUCGGAAUAACUGGGCGUAAAGGGUGCGUAGGCGGUUGUUUAAGUAAAGUGUUAAAGCCCUGGGCUUAACCCAGGAAUCGCAUUUUAAACUGGACAGCUAGAGUGUGGUAGAGGAAAGUGGAAUUCCUAGUGUAGAGGUGGAAUUCGUAGAUAUUAGGAGGAACACCAGAGGCGAAGGCGGCUUUCUGGACCACAACUGACGCUGAGGCACGAAAGCGUGGGGAGCAAACAGGAUUAGAUACCCUAGUAGUC